rnacentral:ncRNA from 1 species
UAUCUGGUUGAUUCUGCCAGUAGUCAUAUGCUUGUCUCAAAGAUUAAGCCAUGCAUGUCUAAGUAUAAGCACUUUAUACUGUGAAACUGCGAAUGGCUCAUUAAAUCAGUUAUCGUUUAUUUGAUAGUACCUUACUACAUGGAUACCUGUGGUAAUUCUAGAGCUAAUACAUGCUACAAACCCCGACUUCAGGAAGGGGUGUAUUUAUUAGAUAAAAAACCAACGCCCUUCGGGGCUCCUUGGUGAAUCAUAAUAACUUAACGAAUCGCAUGGCCUUGCGCCGGCGAUGGUUCAUUCAAAUUUCUGCCCUAUCAACUUUCGAUGGUAGGAUAGUGGCCUACCAUGGUGGCAACGGGUAACGGGGAAUUAGGGUUCGAUUCCGGAGAGGGAGCCUGAGAAACGGCUACCACAUCCAAGGAAGGCAGCAGGCGCGCAAAUU